rnacentral:rRNA from 1 species
CCUAACACAUGCAAGUCGAGCGGCAGCGGGAAAGUAGCUUGCUACUUUUGCCGGCGAGCGGCGGACGGGUGAGUAAUGCCUGGGAAAUUGCCCAGUCGAGGGGGAUACCAGUUGGAAACGACUGUUAAUACCGCAUAAUGUCUACGGACCAAAGUGUGGGACCUUCGGGCCACAUGCUGUCGGAUGCGCCUACGUGGGAUUAGCUAGUUGGUGAGGUAACGGCUCACCAAGGCGACGAUCCCUAGCUGGUUUGAGAGGAUGAUUAGCCACACUGGAACUGAGACACGGUCCAGACUCCUACGGGAGGCAGCAGUGGGGAAUAUUGGACAAUGGGCGAAAGCCUGAUCCAGCCAUGCCGCGUGUGUGAAGAAGGCCUUCGGGUUGUAAAGCACUUUCAGUAGGGAGGAAGAGUUGAGUGUUAAUAGUACUCAGCUUUGACGUUACCUACAGAAGAAGCACCGGCUAACUCUGUGCCAGCCGCCGCCGUAAGAC